ACAAGACCUCAUAAAUCGUUAUUUUUAAGCAUCUUACACACAAUGUGCUACUGUAUGGCUGAAGUGGACAUACAUAUAUUUACAGGAUGUGGACAAGGCCAUUUCUGUAGGAUUACAUUUCAUGUUUUACUGACUUCGUUUGAUACUCACAAUCAAGAUGAGGGGAGUGUGGUUCACGUCUUGGAGGUGUGUCCAAAAUUUGGAGUGGGGGGACCGA